rnacentral:lncRNA from 1 species
GAGAUACAUAGGGUGAGAAACGGAGGCCUUCAGCCAACAGCUGGGAGAAGCUGAGUCCCGUCAACAAUUCAAAAGACUGCAGCCCCAGCCAAGAGUUUGAUGUAACCUCAGGAGAGACCCUGAGCCAGAACCACCUAGAAAAGCUGGGAUACAUGAAGACUGCCAUCCCUUGAGUCACUUGCCCUGUAGCUGCCACUGUUGGAAAAGGGCUUGAUUCUGUGUCCUUGUGCCCACUUUGAAAAGCCCUGGGAAGUCCUUGGAGUCAGAUGAUCAGGCCUCCACCACUCUGCCAAAAAGUCUGUUCACAACCCUGAGGGAGGGAGGAGUGUUGUCCACAUGGCAGAGUGGAUGAUAAAUGGUACGACCAAGGUUCACAUGGAAAGCUCCCCACUCCAAAGCCCAGGCUCUCAACCUUCACUCCCCCUGUAUUUUUAAAUAAAGCUCCCUCAUCUUGUCUGAAAGCAGGAAGUUUCACAUCAUUAGAGAAGAGAGAAGAAGGACAUUUGUACUGGGAGGAGUCGACUGGUCCCAAUCAGGAGAAAGUAGCUACAGAGUCAUGGGUGAGCUGGGUCCCCCAAAAAGGAACUUUAAGGGAAUGGACUGAAUCAAGUCAGAGAUGUCCCCAAAGCAAGACCAAAGAACUGAGCAAGAGAAGCAUUCAUCAGAAACCAAAAUUCAGCUACAAGUGAGCAUCCAGAUGGAGGUAUUAUGAAGAGGAACUGAGACUGAGGGCAAAAAGUGCCAGCCAGAAUCCUGGAUAGGAGAGCAAGAACCAGGACCUCAUUUAAGAGACAACCUGCUUAAGGCAGAAUAAGGUGAGAUUGGAUUCAUGCAAAGACCUGGAAUUCAAGUAGGUUAAUGAACAGAUAGUGUGUGCCUAUACCACGAAUUUACAAUAAUAAUAAGGGUGCUAAUAAUCACAUGGAAUUGUAGAGUAUAAU